GGAGGCUCUGCUCUAUAAACCAGAGGCAAAAGGCAAUCCAGUCUUUGCCUUCACACAGGCAAAGAACUUGUAGCCCCAGUUUACAAAUUGCAGCUAAGGUCCAGAGUGGUUGUGUGCUCUGCUUAAGGUCACACAGCAGGCAGCACACAGGAGAGCUCAAAGCGCCCACUUUCUUCACGCACCCCUGACCCACCUUGCAGCACAGACACCUCAUCCCCGGCCGAGAGGGGCUGAUCCUCUCUGUACCAGAUGAAGAAAUGGUGGCCGAGAGAAGCAAAGUGACCAGCUCAAAGUCACAGAGGCAGGGUUUGAACCCCAUGUCGGUGACACUCAAGAGCCGGCUUUCCUAACCACCACUCCACGCUGUUCCUGCUACUUCACACCCCUUCCGCGUCUCCCUGAACAUGGGGCAGAGCUCCUGGCUAUGCGGGGCCACCUGCCCACCCUCCCACCCAUUGCGGGAGCUCAUACUCUAGGGCAGGUCUCUGGAUCUCACUGAUUCCUACUGGAAGGCAGCUGUUCUCAGGUGGACACUCCUCCAUCCACCCAGCCUCUCUCCUUUUGGAAGUGACUGGGAAUGCCCCCCACCCCAUCUCCCCCGCUGCUCUGAACCACAUGGCUUUCCCAGUCUGAGACUCACUGUGGACUUGCAGGACAACAUCCUGGCGGUCCUCGCCCACCGCGCUCACAGCCACGCAGGAGUACCUCCCAGAGUCGGAGGCCCGGGCACUAGCCAAGGUGAGGACCCGGCCCCCAGGGAAGACCUGUGACCCCAGGGGGAAGCCCAAAUUAGGCAACUGUCCUGCUGUUGCAGGCCCCAAGGGGCAGAACCCCACCUGCCCAAGCCGGCCUUGCUGCCGAGCACGCCUGGACAGCCUGCCCCAGACUCAGAGCCCCUCAUGAUGCAGGGAAACCCAGGGUUGCAUCUGGGCCUCCGGACCUCUGCCAGCUGGCAAUGACACUGGACCUCAGGAAGAGUCCUCUAGAGCCCCUCUGUCCACUCGCCACACAUGGCCAGUGAGCCCUUGAAAUGUGGCCAGGCCAAAUUGAGAGAGGCCCCAGGUACAAAAUAUGCCACGGACUUCAAAGAGUUAAUAUGAAAAGAAGAAUAUAAAAUAUCUCAAUAAUUAUUUUG
rnacentral:lncRNA from 1 species